rnacentral:rRNA from 1 species
UACGUAGGGUGCGAGCGUUAAUCGGAAUUACUGGGCGUAAAGCGUGCGCAGGCGGUUCGUUGUGUCGGCGGUGAAAGCCCCGGGCUCAACCUGGGAACAGCGCUUGAGACUGGCACGCUCGAGUUCGGGAGAGGAUGGUGGAAUUCCCAGUGUAGAGGUGAAAUUCGUAGAUAUUGGGAAGAACACCGAUGGCGAAGGCAGCCAUCUGGACCGACACUGACGCUGAGGCGCGAAAGCGUGGGGAGCAAACAGG